rnacentral:rRNA from 1 species
UACGUAGGGGGCAAGCGUUGUCCGGAAUCAUUGGGCGUAAAGCGCGUGUAGGCGGCUUAGCAAGUCGGGCGUGAAAGCCCUCGGCUCAACCGAGGAAGUGCACCCGAAACUGCUGAGCUUGAGUGCCGGAGAGGAUGGCGGAAUUCCCCAAGUAGAGGUGAAAUUCGUAGAUAUGGGGAGGAACACCGGUGGCGAAGGCGGCCAUCUGGACGGUAACUGACGCUGAGACGCGAAAGCGUGGGUAGCAAACAGG